CUCUCCUAGUCCCUCUCUCAGCAUCAGGGGAGGGGCUGUGAAGCUGAGGGGGACAUGAUAACUGCCCCUCCCCAGGCUGAUGGGGGUUAAAUGAGAUGACAAGAGGAAAGCCCAGCACCCAAUUGCUUCUCCUGAGCAACUACAGGAGUUGACAGUGAUCGCACUCUCUCUAGGCAUUCUCAUCUAAUCAUCAGGAAGCAGGCCCAGAGAGGCUGUGUGACUUGCCCAAGAUCACACAGCAGAUGAUUGUUCUUAGUGCUGGGGCUCCUCUCCCUACACGAGGCUACACCUGGACAGGCACUGCUGAGUGGGCUCUCAAACCCUUGCAGAACCAAGAGAGGCCCCUGGGUCACAAGCAGGUGGUCCCAAUGAUCUGACACCCCUGAAUGCUUUUCUUCAAUUGGCCUGUUUUGUUGGGGAAUCUAGCAGACUUUUUGGGGGUGGGAGAGAGUAUGGACCAGGCUUGUUAAGCUCCAGGAGCGUCCUGGGAAGCUCAGAGGCCCAGGAAGCAUUAAGGAAGGGCCAGGAGUCUCCUGGCUGCCUCUGCCCCAGAUGAGGAGUCAGAGGAGGGGCUUAGGGGUCAGGCAGCCAGGAUAGGCACCUUGGAAGGAGACAAACCUGGGGAUGGGGACAGAGGGUGGGGCCUCAAGGCCCAAAUUCCUGGGUUGUCUCCUGGGGCAAAUCAGAGCAGGAUUGGAAGUGUCUGCUGAGUCAGCAGGGAACAGAGACUCCACACCCUGGAGGAUUAGCUGGAGCAGGGGAGGGGUGUCCCCCACCCCAGGCAGUUCACCUUGCACCUGGCAGCAGUGUGUGCUUCCCUGCACACAGAGGGUGCCUGGCCACGUCAUGCAAUGUGUGUGGCACUGUCCCACACCCACCCCCUAGGUCAGUCAGGCCUGCCCUGAGCUCGGGAAUCACUGAUGGUGAGUGGGGGAGGAUGAUGUGCCUUCAGCCAGGGGAAGAUGGGCAACUGAAGAAGUCAGAAGGCCAGAGAGGGCAGGAGGGGAGCUGGAAAGGAAGGCAAGCAGAAGAGCAGAGAGUUCCUCCCAAGAUCUGGGCAGGGAUGAUGCUAAUGGAAGACCUACCGUGUGCUAAGCCCUAUGCCAGGAGCUUCCACAGGCACUGUCUCAUUUCAUCCUCACAGCUACCUGCCAAGGUGAAGAAAUAAAGACCCAGAGAUGUGAAGUGACUUGCCCAAGGCCUCUCGACUGAGUGCCUGCAUCUCAGAGUGCAAAUCCAUGAAGACUUUAUAAAGGCUCUAUGGAGGAAGAGUUUCAGCUGACUUCAGAUUCACUGUGCUGCGUCUUCUGCAUUUGGGACCUUGCCUGUAUCCAGUUCUCGGAUGGUGGUGACCAGGGAUGUUUUGAGUUCUCCAGUCUCAUUCCUCCUCCGCCUCCUUAGGAGGCAGUUCUCCCAGGGGCAGAAGGUGAAUGGAUGGCAAUAAGAAUUCCCCCUCGCUGUAACCCCUCCCCUUCUUCCCCUGAUAAUAACAGCAGUUGUAAAUGCC